AACGCACAUUGCGCCCUCUGGUAUUCCGGGGGGCAUGCCUGUUCGAGCGUCAUUACAACCCUCAAGCUCUGCUUGGUAUUAGGCAUACCUGCUACAGGCGUGCCUUAAAAUCAGUGGCGGUGCCAUUUGGCUCCAAGCGUAGUAAUUUCUUCGGCUUAGGAGUACCAAUUGCGUGCCCGCUAGAAAUACCCAAUUUAUCAAAGGUUGACCUCGGAUCAGGUAGGGAUACCCGCUGAACUUAA
rnacentral:misc_RNA from 1 species